CGGAUGGGGCGGCAGCUUACGCAUGCAGUCGAGCGGAACGAUACCAGCUUGCUGGUAGGCGUCGAGCGGCGGACGGGUGAGUAAUACUUAGGAAUCUACCUAGUAGUGGGGGAUAGCUCGGGGAAACUCGAAUUAAUACCGCAUACGACCUACGGGAGAAAGGGGGCAGUUUACUGCUCUCGCUAUUAGAUGAGCCUAAGUCGGAUUAGCUAGAUGGUGGGGUAAAGGCCUGCCAUGGCGACGAUCUGUAGCUGGUCUGAGAGGAUGAUCAGCCACACCGGGACUGAGACACGGCCCGGACUCCUACGGGAGGCAGCAGUGGGGAAUAUUGGACAAUGGGGGAAACCCUGAUCCAGCCAUGCCGCGUGUGUGAAGAAGGCCUUUUGGUUGUAAAGCGCUUUAAGCAGUGAAGAAGACUCCUCGGUUAAUACCCGUGGACGAUGACAUUAGCUGCAGAAUAAGCACCGGCUAACUCUGUGCCAGCAGCCGCGGUAACACAGAGGGUGCAAGCGUUAAUCGGAAUUACUGGGCGUAAAGCGAGCGUAGGUGGCUUGAUAAGUCAGAUGUGAAAUCCCCGGGCUUAACCUGGGAACUGCAUCUGAAACUGUUAGGCUAGAGUAGGUGAGAGGAAGGUAGAAUUCCAGGUGUAGCGGUGAAAUGCGUAGAGAUCUGGAGGAAUACCGAUGGCGAAGGCAGCCUUCUGGUAUCAUACGGACACUGAGGCUCGAAAGCGUGGGUAGCAAACAGGAUUAGAUACCCUGGUAGUCCACGCCGUAAACGAUGUCUACUAGUCGUUGGGUCCCUUGAGGACUUAGUGACGCAGCUAACGCAAUAAGUAGACCGCCUGGGGAGUACGGCCGCAAGGUUAAAACUCAAAUGAAUUGACGGGGGCCCGCACAAGCGGUGGAGCAUGUGGUUUAUUCGAUGCACGCGAAGAACCUUACCUGGUCUGACAUAUCUAGAUCUGCAGAGAUGCGGGAGUGCCUUCGGGAUUAGAUACAGUGCUGCAUGCUGUCGUCAGCUC
rnacentral:rRNA from 1 species